AUCGAACGCUGGCGGCAGGCCUAACACAUGCAAGUCGAGCGGAUGAAGGGAGCUUGCUCCUGGAUUCAGCGGCGGACGGGUGAGUAAUGCCUAGGAAUCUGCCUGGUAGUGGGGGAUAACGUCCGGAAACGGGCGCUAAUACCGCAUACGUCCUGAGGGAGAAAGUGGGGGAUCUUCGGACCUCACGCUAUCAGAUGAGCCUAGGUCGGAUUAGCUAGUUGGUGGGGUAAAGGCCUACCAAGGCGACGAUCCGUAACUGGUCUGAGAGGAUGAUCAGUCACACUGGAACUGAGACACGGUCCAGACUCCUACGGGAGGCAGCAGUGGGGAAUAGUGGACAAUGGGCGAAAGCCUGAUCCAGCCAUGCCGCGUGUGUGAAGAAGGUCUUCGGAUUGUAAAGCACUUUAAGUUGGGAGGAAGGGCAGUAAGUUAAUACCUUGCUGUUUUGACGUUACCAACAGAAUAAGCACCGGCUAACUUCGUG
rnacentral:rRNA from 1 species